rnacentral:rRNA from 1 species
UACGAAGGGGGCGCGCGUUGUUCGGAAUCACUGGACGUAAAGCGCACGUAGGCGGCGCGUUAAGUCAGGGGUCAAAUCCUGGAGCUCAACUCCAGAACUGCCUUUGAUACUGGCGUGCUCGAGUGCGGGAGAGGUUGGUGGAACUCCGAGUGUAGAGGUGACAUUCGUAGAUAUUCGUAAGAACACCAGUGGCGAAGGCGGCCAAGUGACCCUUUACUGACUCUGAGGUGCGAAAGCGUGGGGAGUAAACAGG